AUUUCAUUAGUGCUCUCAAGAUCCUCUGAUGCUCUCCAGACUCUGAGGUCUCACCCAGCACUUCAACAUUUACAAGAGUGCACACAAUAGCCAAAUGUGCUUCAGAAUCUCUUCCCGGGCAGCAGCCAAAGUGGCUUUGCAGAGAUUGGUACUGACUAUUCAUGUCGGUAAUUAUUUUGAAGGGGAUACUCCCUGUGAAGCGUGCCUGGAACGGCAUCAGACCUGAUGGGCUGUGGGAGGCGCAUCCAUCAGCUUUGCUCCAGGAUGGGUCCUGGAAAGCUCGCAGCUGGGGAGGAGGAUCCAUUUUCCUGUGUACUCAGAUGAGAAUAUAGCACACGCUUUGCUUCAGUCUCGUCUUGCCAACAUCUGGGACAGGACCAGCAAAAUGAGCCCUUCCUCUGGUCGGGGCUUCAAACAGCUUCCACCUGCGGGGAACGUGUGAGAGAAAACACUGGGAACGGAGAAAAGGCACAAAAAAAGGGAGGAGAAAAGCAGCACUGCAAGGAAGCCAGAGCCAAACUUCAAGUGGCGGAUUGUUUCUCACCCAGGCUCUAAUUAGGAAGCCUCAUUUGGGAGCGUGAAGCUGUCGGGCUGCCAAAUGUCAGCGUGUUUGUAGGAGAUCAGGCGAGUCUUUGCUGGCAGCACCCAGGGUUUGGUGCCACUGGCCUCCCCCGAGGCACAGGGGAGGGCUUUUCUGAAAUCACCCCGUUUCCCUGGGCUCUGGGCUCUUCCCGAGCAGAAAGGGUUAACACAGCGUGCAGAAUGUGACUCAGGUUCCCAGGGAAAUCCCCAGCUUAUCUGAUGGAGCCUGUUAGUCUGCUAAUUGAAUCAGCUCCUAUUAAAAGUGCAAUGUUUUUUAAUGACUGCUAACAAAGGGCCAGAUUCUGAUCUGAUUUUGUUUUUUUGCUGGGGGAUCGUUUUUGCUGAUGGUGCCCAAAGCGCUGGGGCUUUCUUGGGGCAAGUGAGGUCCCAGCUGGGCACAGACUUUCAUGAGGCUUCACCGAGGGUGAUAAUGGGCAGAAAGCUUUUGCUGGGGGUCUGUAGGAUGGGGAGAAGGCGGCAGUGCUGCCAGCAGAGCAGUUUGUUGGGAGACGACCAAGGACUCCACGUAACAUAAUUGCUGCAAAUAUCUCAUACGUCAUCCAAGCCCUGCUCUGAGUAAUUAACUUUCCCAGUGUUGAAAUCAGGUUGAUUUGUUGGUUCUGAAUAUGAGAUGUUGUCUGCGUCUGCAUAGGAAAAAUGCUGUGUGUGUGCCUCUGCAUAUGCACAUUCAAACCUUAAUUUUAAUUAAAAUGAUGUGCAUUAUACCAGUAUCUCUUGUUCUCUAUGGUAAUUGACUUUGAGAAGGUAUUUGCCUAGUAGGAAAAGAAAGAAAGAUACUCGGUUAGCAUUUAAAGUGAACUUAGCUGGGUUCCAGGGACUCGGGAAGGAGAGGACAGCAAGUGUGACCCCAGCCCAGCCUGAGACGCGGCACCCACCGCUCUGGUCAGCCUGAACGUCCCUCCUUUGUUUUAACACCAUCACCCCUUGUCCUGUAGCAACACUCCCGAGCCCGUGUGACGUGAGACCUGGGAAAAGUUUUCUGAUAUAAUGGUGGUGAGAAGAAGGUGCUUGGUGACCCUUGAGCACAGUGAUCUCCAUUGACAUGCGCUUCAUAAACUCCCACCUGCUUUACCAAGGCAUCCUACACCUGCUGGGAGAAAGUCUUCUCUGGAAAAAGAAGGAAAGAUCUGCUGUGAGCUUACACUGAGGCUUCUGGUUUCUGAUGCCCCAGAGCUGAGAAGAAGCGUCCCAGAUAACCGAGCCUAAGCAGACUGGUACACCAACACACAUCAGGAAGCCCAUCUGAGCACGGCCUGUUGCGCUUCAACCCCCGCGACACCGGGGUCCCCUGCGCUCCCCCCCUUGCACAUUCGACAUGCUGAGAAAAAAUCGAACAGCAAGAGAUGUGCUGAGAAACAGAUUCAGCCUGGAGGGGAGAAGCUCUGGGGAGAGCUUAUUGCACUUUUCCAUGCUUAAAAGGGGCCCAUAGGAAAGAUGGGGACAGACUUUUGAGCAGAGCCUGUUGCAAUAGGACAAGGGGUGAUGGUUUAAACUAAAGGAGGGAGAUUCAGGCCGGGCAUGAGGAAGACGCGUGUGUGUGAGCACACACGUUUACUUGAAAAAUACUCCCCUCUCUUAGCACGCUUCGAGGUUUGUAACCAGGGCCCUGGUCGCACAGCUGUUGGCCACUGAAGAAUGUGAAUUUUCGCCUCCUAACUCACCACAAGAUGGUCCCAUUGUCUCCUGAAAAUGCUGUCCCAACACAGAUUCCUUAGCGCGGUUGAGCAACGUUCCUCCAGCCUGUUUCCAGGAAUGAAAACUGGGGCAGCAGAAAGUCAGUCUGCGGGCUGGGCAAGAGGGCCUGGGAAAGCACCGCUUUCUGAAUUGAAAAAACACCAAAUAAAGGGCAAAAAGCUGCUCGUAAUGUCCUUGAAUCACAGCUUAUCUGCGAGUAAUCGCUACUCCUCUGAGAAUAAUAAACCCACUGUGCCUACCUCUGCUGCCAUCUCUCACCAGCGGCUGCCUGGCUGCCGUUAGAUGUGCCUGUUCCUGCAGAGCCACCCUGCUCUUCCCAGCUUGCCAAAAGAGCUCAUUUCAACUUAAAAGAUUGCAUAAAGAAACAAAUAAACCCAGAGGCGGUUCUGACACUGCUGUUAUAGGCGGCUCGCCCAUCACACGCGACUCGGAGUCUCUGAGGCCUCCUGGAAGCAACUGGCUCUCAAAAGUGUAAUAUCCAAUCACAGGAUUAAAUGAAAAUCAAGCCAAAACCUAUUCUUUGAGCCCUUACAAAAAAAAAAAAAGCGUGCUCGGAAUUUCAAAGGGCCCUAUAGGAUCUGUCAUCUCAGUAUUUAUAAAUAUACAUUACUCCUAUAGGACUUGAGCACCAGCACUGAUGUCAAUAAGGCCGUUCCCGUUGUGUAACCCUUUCCUUUCAUACGUCUGUGAGUAUUGUCACUUCUGUUAUGGCACAAAUCUUCGCCUUGGCUUCGUUAAAACCAGGAUCAGCCCCUAGAGCUGGUCUGAAUCCCCAGCAAUUGAUCCUUUCCAAGCGGAACAGAAGAAAAAUACAAUUUUCGAAAUGGUUUGGAAAGGCAUAAGAGUUUUUUAUAUGAGGUAGAAUUUUUUUACCUCUUUGCAGAACUGGCCAAAAACUUUCAGAUAUUGUAACUUUCUGCCAGAAAAUUUUGAUUUGUGAGAUGGAAACAUUCCAUGACAAUAUAUCCAUUUCCUUUAGUAUUUAAUAAAACGUCAAGAUGGCUUAAAUAUUGCACUUUACUGAAACAGUUUAAUAUGAAUAUUCUUUAGUGAGUUUACCAUAAAAGUUAAAAAAUGCACAUUCAGAUAAUAAUAGCAGGGCAAAAAGUUGGAUGGUAAGUGGAAGAUAUGGGGAAGAAAACAGUGUGCCUCUGCUCAGGGGUUUAAUGCAGUUAACUAAUCCACUUUAAAUCAGUUCAGAUUAAUGUCCUGAGUGACCCCAUGUAGACAAACCCCAUUGUGUCGAGCAGGGGAAGGACAGAGCAGUAAAUGUUUUCCCUACUGUAAGAUUAGGACCAAUCUAAAAUUGUAAACAGCCGCUCCUUAAAGGGAAGAGACAAAGGAUAUUUGGAUAUCACUCCAAAACAUGGACGAACUAUUGAUUUAAUUGUCUUACAAUGACGAUGGAGACAUAAAAUGACGGGAUUGCAUUGGGCUGAUUGGCUUUUUGAACAAGAGAGCAGAUCUGAGAGGCAGCGCUUGGGUUUGUUAUUUUCUAUCGUAUGCAGAGCAGCGUGUGCGCUAAUGAGGAAAUACCUUCCUAGUGAAAACCCAGGUGGAAGUGGCUAAUGAACUGCUAAUGAGGCAAGCCAGCCAGAGGACAGAAGUUAAACUUUGCUAAUUGCUGAAGAGACAGAAGGAGGAUGCCAAGUGCUGCUGGGUGAAGGCGCUCAGGCUUGCGGGCUCGCAGAGAAAAUUUCUCUCAUUAGUGAAGUGUCUGUGGCUGCAGGACAGAGGCAGAGCUCUGUCUGUCUGUCUGUCUGUCUGGCAGUGGGAAGAUGCCGUCUGAGCGCAGAUGGAUCCGGAGAUUCCCAAUGUGUCCAAUACCGGGCAUCAGGUACAGCGCUGCUCUCAAAGCCACACGGGGUUCAUGACAACUAUAAACACUUCAUGAUUUUACCAGUCAUUUUCCAACCAUCCCAUUUGUUAAAUGAAGCCUCAGCAUAAAAAGUGAGAUUAUUUUUUUAAAAAAAAAGCAGAUUUCAUCCUCACUUGGGGCUUGUGUCUCAGCGCCUGCUGCUUGUUGGUUCCAUCUGCUGGUGACAUUUUAGAAACGCAACGGAGACCAGAAAUUUCUGGAGCAGAAGUUGACUCUGCAAUGCUUCUAAAUCUCACUCAGCACAGCGAAGCCUGCAGGAACAAGCACUUCUUUCCUUCCCAACUCGAACACUACCCAGCCAAGUGUUCAACAACCGGAGAAGAAAGUGCUUCCUCCAGCAGGCUGCUCUGCGCCUCCCUCUCCAAACUAAACUUGCUGUGGACGGCGACACAUUCCCAUUUCACGCUGGCUUGAUUAAUGUGUCUCAGCUAAUUGUCUGGAGGAUUCCCGCCCUUUGGACUGCGAGACCAGAACGAUCCUGCUGAGAGGCUGAGAAUCAGUGCUCAUCAUUCCCCCCUCACCGACGCUUGAAUACAUUUUCCCGAGAGAAAACAUUAAACAAAAAAGUGAAAGAGAGGAAGGGAGAGAGGGGGGGAGCGGGAGAGUGACUGAGCUGGCUUUUCAAAGCGCACUUCUCAACCUGCCCACAUCAAAAUAAGAGACAACUGGCCCUUUGAAGUCCAGGACACAGACUUCUCUACCAGCCCAUGUGGAAAUAAAAGAACCCAGCUUUAUAAAUCACACGGAUGUCUCACCUUACCCACAUCAAAAUCAGGGACAGUGACCUUUAAAACUGAGGUUUAAGGCCCCCCCCCCCAAACCAAUCUCCACGAAAAUAAGGAGAGUUCAGAUAGACUGUGUCUCCAGGUACCUGUCGGCUUCUCCAGUCUGAACCAGGACACGUCAGCCCCUUGCACCGAGUGGGGAUAAACCCCGUUGUCAUCACAUAUCUUCCAUCAGGGACAUUGCUCAGGGAGGCGACUUCGUACCCUGGGCCAGUUCAGCCUUAUUGUGGGUCCGUAUUUAAGAAGAGUUCCCAGCACGUGAUGUGCUACUAUACAUCAGUACUGCUAACUCCAGGCAUAUGAAACUUACCAUCCAGAUGACCCACAAAAUGAUCGGAUUUCCUUAAAAAAUUGUGACAUUUUAACGUGAAAAAUGUCAGGGUUUUUUUUCAUUCGCCUUCUCUUCUCCAACAUCCGAUUUGUCCCAUGUUUGUGACACUUUGCAUUUCCUUCAAAUGAAAGCUGGGGUCUACAGCGUGGGGAACUUGGUCCCACAGAAACUUGCGAGAACAUUGCAAGAAACCAGACAUUGGGGCAGCUCAGCACAGCCCCUCUCUUUGGGGUGGAAUUUCAGAAAAUGGUGAUUGGUGCGCGCUUGUCCUUUGCUACGGAAGGGUUCCAGCAAAGGCUGAAAUAUCACUGAGGGUAUAUUUUACUCACCACCUGGCUCUUCACCAGCUGUUCAUGAGCACCAGAAGUUCCUGCAAAUAUUGGCUGGCUGGGGAUAAUUUUAACAAACACACAGCCUGCGCUCCUCUGAGAAACCAAGGUAGUAACUCGUUCACAUACACGACAUAUAGAACGUGAUUGUUGGGAUGGGCAGGAGAGAAAGGGAGAGAGAAUAGUUGUGGCAGAAGCCUCUGGAAUACUGGGUUGCUUUCCAUGAGAAAAAGGUGCAAAAUGGCAGUGAUAACAGUAGGAAAGAUAAACAGGGAAUUACCACACAGUGUGUUGGCUUGAAGGAUACAUGAGAUAUGAUUUUUCCUUCAGAAGCAAUUAACUGUUCACUGGCAAACUGAAGGCAAGUUUUCAUAGCACAAAAAACUCGGUGACAACAGCAAGUUAACGUAUUCUUAUUUUUAUGCCAUCUCCCGCUCUGCACUUGUGCCAAAGCAAACCAGUCAGCUUAGAUAAAACACCCAACCCUGCAAAAAAUGCUUAAUUUUACCAAUGUACACACAGAACUAUCAGAGCUACCACAACUGCUGGGAAGGAAAGUGGUUUUUUCCAGUAGUGAGACUCAGCUGAUCUUCAAACCUGCGUGAUGCUGGAUCGAUUCAUCAAGGGUAAUCGGGACUGUCUCUAACUCUCUGUGUUCCCAGACUAAAUAUACUUUUCUCUACAAAAAAAUAAAGGCCAGAAGUAGCUAGAACAACUGGUGUAUGGGCAGCUCCCUCCUCUCCAGGUAUUUUCAUCUAUCUGUGCGAACAGGACUUUGUAGACUGUGCUGUUCAUCAUAUUCCCCUUGAGGCCUCAACUUUGCUUCUGAGAUAUGGGAUGGACACUUACUGCUCUGACAGCAUCAUCAGGAUCCUUCUGUUAAUCAGGUGAUUCACAAACAUUUACUUUUUAAUAUUUCUAAAGACUCAGCAUGUGCCAGACACGCAGGCAAAGCAAGAUAGUGACUGCUAAAGGAGCAGGAGAGGUAUAGCUGGUUAUAAGGGUAUUUAGUUCCAGUUCCACGUCAAACUGCUGCACAGGAGCUCCUGUUCUACAUAAAUCUACCUGGGGAGAUUCCUGCGAUUUGUCUUUUUUUAAUGGAACCAAAAUAAAGAAAACAUUCUUUCUGAUACGCAGUGUAAUCACCCUGAAAUGUUAGUCUCCCUGAAAUCCCUUAAUUGAAUCUGCUAAAGUCCUGGAGAGAUAGUGAGGGAGAAAGAGAGAGAAAGAAAAGAUAUGGAGAGAUUAAAGCAGCUUUUCUAGUUAGUCCAAGAGCAAACGAGUCUCCUUCUAUUUCUGUUUCUUCAUCUAUUCAAGGCCUUUUUCACUCCCCACAUGCCUCCCACUGACAGCAUUGCUGCUCAAGCACACUAUGCAUGAAUUGCCAUAAUGUUUUAUUUUGUUAUAACUGGUUUCUUUAUACCAAAGGCUUUAAUACCCACUGUCCCAUGCUAUUACCGAGGACAUUCCAACCUGCCUUCAUGGAAACUGCAGCAUCCAAAAGACAUAGUUUGGGGUCAUUUUUUUUUCUCCUUUCUUCCCAAUAGACAAGUAGCAUCUGUGUGAAUUCACAUAAUUUCCUAAUAGACAAAAAUGGAGCCUAAAUAAUAUAAUCAGAUGAGGUUUCUAGGAACCCACAUCUGAGAUGCAGCGACAUCAUUCCCCAAAAGCCAUGAACCCAACAGUACAAAACUCCAGCACGUUUUCUGCUCGCAGGUGUUAAUUCCUCUGCUGUAGCUUGGUUGAUGGUUCAGAUGAAGACGACCUUUCCCAGGGGACGCUGGGUGCUUUGAAAUUGGUCAGUACCAGCUCUCUAAAUGGGAAGAAUAACCUGUAGCUCCAAGGAACAGAUCAGGAGGACAGGACCAGAGUGGUAAUAGUAGUUGGAAAUGGGACAUUGUUUUCUCUUGGAUCUUUAAACACAAGCAAUCUCGAUGCAGUUUACAAACAAUUGACAAAGAAUUUGUGUCUGGAGUAUCCCCUGGGGCAGCUCAGCUGGAUUAAUAUGCCGUGUUUGUGCGGUGAAAAAAGGUCGUAGGUAGGCGCUGGGUAGAGACUCGAACUCUUGUGGGUUACUCUGAGCAGUAUUUAUUGUAGAAGAUUCACAGGAACAGCAGCGUUGGGUCACCUCCUCAGAGAGUGACAAUCAUACAGCAGUAUAACUACUCAUUAUAUAGGGUUCCAACAGGUAUUAUGCAACUAAGCAAAAUUUAUCACUGUCUAUCACUGUCGAUAUCUAUCACUGUCGAUAUCCUCAGGCUCCUUUCAUUCCAGUGGUCUGCGGGUUCCACUUCUUCUUUCUUGGCAAGUACCGAACGAAAGGUCAUCAGGUCGCAGGGCUAGCUUCUUUGGAAGUUCCACCUGUCUCAUUUGUUAUCCAUAGUUCACCAGUCUAGCAUAGAAAUCAGCAACCCUAAGAAUAGUAUUUAUCAAUGUCUUAACUAAGGGUACAACGCAAGCAUAAGGUAACCACACUCAUGGUUCUGGUUAAGGACUAUACAGGGGACAAGCUGAGACUUUCAGCUUUAGCAGCACAGCUUAUAACACUGAUAUAGGCCUAAAAUCCUAAUUUCCUGUUUUCCUACAACAUGCGGUCUGACCAUUUGUGAAUGGAGUAGCUGUCCCGAACCAAGGUCAAGAAGGUCUGUUGGUUUGGCACGUUGCUGUGGGCUCUGCGUUAUUUUCUGUAAAGAGAGGGGUUGAUUCCCAGUUCUCUGAACUGAUUUUAUGUGGCGGCAAUUGCUGUGACUUCCAUGAGGUUAAUCCCUGCGCCUUUCAGUAUAAAAGCAAUAAAUAAAGACUGAGUGGGCUGCGGAUACGGUUCUACACACACGCCAUGGCUUCGGUUUGAGCGGACAGACCAGUGGGAUCCAGACUGGGACUCACAGAGUCACCUAAUCUGAGCUCAGCAAGGCCACCACAGCAAGUCCUGGGCUUUGAGACCCCGGUGAAGAAUGUGCUGUUGGUGGAUGUGAGCCAGGCCGCGCAAAAAAGCCAACAGGAAACCAAAAUGAUUUUGUGUGACGCGUUAACUCUGAACUUGAGGAGAACUCCUGGAAGAAAGCGGAGACAAAACGAGUAAGAAACCAGUCAAAGUUCCUCAAAACGAGCCGAGCUGGCUGAGGAGAACUCGGUGGGAAUGACUGCCCUGCAGCUGCUGAGCUUUUCGGGUGGAAUAUUUGGCCGUGAGGGCAGUUAUAGUGCAGUCCCUGAGUCCAUGUUUUGGAAAUUUAACUUUUCCUCAGGAAUGGACUAUAUCAGGAGCAAGCACAACUUGCCAAAACACAGGCUUGGCUUUUAGAACAGCAGAUAAUGCGAUUUCAGUGCUCGAGACAGACAAAGCACAGCUAAAGCAAUCAGACUCUGCCAGAGAAAAGGUAUUUUUCAUCAGAAGCUUGAUCUGAAGAGGAGGAAAAACAGUGACACCCAUAGGUCACUUUUGUAGCAGGAAAAGUGUCCCUGCAAUAUUCUGUAUACUUGUAUUGCAUUUGAUAUGAAUCGUUCAGAGGAAAACCCAACAUUUGCCACCAAAACGAAUCAAGCUCGCCGGCCCUCCCGAGGGAGCAGCAAAUCGUCCUGCUGUGGGGGUUCCUGCUGACACGGGGGAUUUGGGACAGGAAAGCGGAGCAGCUGGCGGGUGUUACUCACAGGACAGACAGGGAGUAACGUUACUCCACGGGCUUUACUCCGACUGGUAGCGGAGCCCUUGAGAUCUGUGCCAAAAUUACAACACGGCAUCUCGGACACAUCUGAGCGUAAAGGAUGUUUAAAAUCUGGGGCCCCAGGAAACUUCAUUAGAAUUGGUGUUGCUUAACAACUGUCUGGAAAAAAAAGAUGUGAACAAGGUGGCAACAUUUGAAGAUGGCAGAAGUGUUUAGAUUCGCCAUGAUAAGAAGUGACAGCGAGGAACUUCAGAGAGACCUGACAAAGCCAGAUGAAUGGGCUGCUGGAGAAGAUUCCAAGUUAUUGUUGACAGCUGUGAUACCAAUUGACUGAAGCUGCUCGGGAAAGGGACCCAGGCAUGAAACCACAAGUCAGCAUGCAGCAACAGUCCUGAAAGCUAAUUAAAUGUGAAGAGGCGUACAAAGGGGAGUAGGAGACUAUUACAACAUCAAUCUGUAAAGGACGGGUACGUCUGCAGCUCCGCUCAGGUCCCGUCAACCAGUCCCAAAGAGCUGCAGUAGAAACCAAAGUGAUUUAAGUGACUGUAAAUAUGAAGGUGGUUCCCAGAGGAGAAAGUGAGGUUUGAGGGUUUUUAAUUAGAGAGAUGAAUAAUGUAUUCUAAUGAUAAGAGGAUACAAAUCCAUGUCACAGUUCCAAAAGCUGAAUGUCUUUAUUCAGGCUCUGAGAACGGGAAGAGGGACUAACCAAAAAAAGGCUUUGGAGACUGAGAGGGAGGUGGUUCCAUCUUUAUCAAAGGUGGCUCCUAUCCAAAGCGGUCGUCAUUUAUGGAACAAAUAAACAUUAGUAAGCACUUUACAGUGCCCAUACGUGUUCUGUGUCAUAUGCAGGAAGGACAGAGCAAGGCUGCCUGGUUGGGAAGCGGGAUGUCACCAAGGAAAACCCAUCACUGUGCGGAAGGAUCACAAUUCGUCUCUUUGUACGUAUCUCAUAACACAGUGAAUUUGUUGUGUGUCUGACACAGCAGAACAGCCUCAGGGCUGCUCCAGACUCACCUUUCCCCACAGAUUGCAGCCAGAUUAGUUUAGGGCUACAAAUUUCAUUCAGAUAAGGCACAGAUGCGCAACCUUGUUUCUGCUGAAUUAGCUGGAGCACACAAUGCAGAGCUUGGGCCGGCUGUGGGAGACCACAUGAGUUUUGGUCCUGGAUAAAAGCUGCUUUGUUUGUUUGUUUGUUUGUUGUUGGUUUGUGUUUUGUUUUGUUUCCAAACAAUCUGCAAACGAUACCUGAAGAGUUUCCUGCUGGCAAAGCACACGUGUGCUGCAGCAUCCUGGCGUGACAGCAGUGACACACGCGUCUCCCAUGUUGUUGUCCUGAUGCAAUUAAAAUAUUUCCUCCUUUUUUUUCCUCCUUUGCUCCUGUUCAUGCCCCCGCCUGUAAUAACUGGCGCGAGGUCUCUGCCCCAAGCAGGCUUGUGAUUUCUGCAGUUUUGCUCUGAAAAGCCGACACGCUGCAAUCCGAACUCACCCUGGAGCAGCUCCACCGAUCCCAGCUCUUUCGGCACACGCCCUCUGAAAACAGCCGAGGCUUUUUCGUAACUCAAGAGGGAGAAUUGAGCAAUAAAUCCAAACCUUCCGUUCUUAAAAACUCCUUUCGGUUAAGCAAGUCUCGGUGUAAUGUGUCAGGUAAUGAAGCGCUACGUUUCGUGCAGGAACAGACCUCGACCUCUCUCCGUGUCCGCAGCAGUUGCUGUUCUGUAUGCUUCACUGGGUUUGGUGUCUAAGAAUAACAAUCUUCCCUUAGCAAAAGGAUUUUUUAAGCAGAAACGCGCUGGGAAGGCAUGAACAAUUUCUGCGUCUUGUUGCAACCCAAGUUCCCAGCCUUGGCACGGCCAGAAGGAGCUGAUGUACCCAAACGGCUCCAUCUCUUUCACGCUAUUUUCUCCUGCAGCCCCCAGUUGGCCACAACUUGCUAAACAUCACGGGCUUUAGUCUCCUGUUUAUUUUGCAUGUAUCGUUUGAGCCAACACAACACAGCGGUGAUUGGGAUGUGCUGUCCUGGCAUGAGAAGGGUGGUCUGGAUGCAACACGCUGGGUAAUAAACCAGCGACACAAGCGUUGUUUGCACAUCUGCGCAAAGUGCCUUUUUGUGGAAAAUAUUUGUUAUUGUUACGACCACAUGGACUUUAAAAACAUGUUUAAUGCUUGCAUUUUAAAGGAGCGGAGAGAUAAAUGCAGAAGUGGACGGAAUAAAAUUACACAUUGUAGUUAAUGCUGAGGUUAUGAUCUUAGGUAGGUUCUGAGUCAAGGACCAGAGGGGAACUUCUCUGUUGCAAAGAGAAAAUAGCAAUAUUUCGCUAGUUAGAGCUGGUAAAUGAAGCAAGCAUGGUAAUAGCUGGUAGCCCUGAAUACAAAGUGACGCUGUUCAUUUCAUUAGGCAGAGGAAAUGCUGCAAUAGAAAUGUUUAAUUCUUGUCCUUUGAAGGUGUAGGAGUUUGUACAGCAGAGCCUGUUCCCGUCUGCAGAACCAAAGUCUUGAAAGAGAAAGACCAGGUGAGGUCAGGACAAGUCUGCUCGCUGCUGACACAAUGUAAAAAGUGCACUUUACAGAACGUAUACAUAUAGCGCAUGCAUAAAUAUGCCUGGGUAUUUUACAUGCAUUUUGUAGGAUGCGUGCACGUAUAGAAACCAGCGGCUUUCUGGAGCAGCACAGGCCAGCCUGGUGUUGUUGAUCGCUCAUUACCGACCAGGUGCCCCGUGCAGGGUGCAGCUCUGGAAUUUAUUUGUGCCUUUCAUAUUUUACGACGCACCUGCAGGUGCUUUUCCUGCGCCCGGGUGCCUCAGAGCGCCGCUCGGACUCUUUUGUCCAGCGGAAG